GACGGAGGGUGCUAGCGUUGUUCGGAAUCAUUGGGCGUAAAGCGCACGUAGGCGGCCCAGCAAGUCGGGUGUGAAAGCCCUCGGCUUAACCGAGGAAGUGCGUUCGAAACUACUGAGCUUGAAUACUGGAGAGGAUCGCGGAAUUCCCGGUGUAGAGGUGAAAUUCGUAGAUAUCGGGAGGAACACCAGUGGCGAAGGCGGCGAUCUGGACAGAUAUUGACGCUGAGGUGCGAAAGCGUGGGGAGCAAACAGG
rnacentral:rRNA from 1 species